rnacentral:rRNA from 1 species
CCUACGGGUGGCUGCAGUGGGGAAUAUUGGACAAUGGGCGAAAGCCUGAUCCAGCCAUGCCGCGUGUGUGAAGAAGGCCUUCGGGUUGUAAAGCACUUUCAGUGGGGAAGAAAGCCUUGGGGCUAAUACCCUCGAGGAAGGACAUCACCCACAGAAGAAGCACCGGCUACCUCCGUGCCAGCAGCCGCGGUAAUACGGAGGGUGCGAGCGUUAAUCGGAAUUACUGGGCGUAAAGCGCGCGUAGGCGGUCUGAUAAGCCGGUUGUGAAAGCCCCGGGCUCAACCUGGGAACGGCAUCCGGAACUGUCAGGCUAGAGUGCAGGAGAGGAAGGUAGAAUUCCCGGUGUAGCGGUGAAAUGCGUAGAGAUCGGGAGGAAUACCAGUGGCGAAGGCGGCCUUCUGGACUGACACUGACGCUGAGGUGCGAAAGCGUGGGUAGCAAACAGGAUUAGAUACCCCAGUAGUC